UGGGGAAUAUUGCACAAUGGGGGAAACCCUGAUGCAGCGACGCCGCGUGGAGGAAGAAGGUCUUCGGAUUGUAAACUCCUGUUGUUGAGGAAGAUAAUGACGGUACUCAACAAGGAAGUGACGGCUAACUACGUGCCAGCAGCCGCGGUAAAACGUAGGUCACAAGCGUUGUCCGGAAUUACUGGGUGUAAAGGGAGCGCAGGCGGGAAGACAAGUUGGAAGUGAAAUCUAUGGGCUCAACCCAUAAACUGCUUUCAAAACUGUUUUCUUGAGUAGUGCAGAGGUAGGCGGAAUUCCCGGUGUAGCGGUGGAAUGCGUAGAUAUCGGGAGAACACCAGUGGCGAAGGCGGCCUACUGGGCA
rnacentral:rRNA from 1 species